rnacentral:tRNA from 1 species
GCAUUGGUGGUUCAGUGGUAGAAUUCUCUCUCGCCUUCCAUGCAGCAGACCCAGGUUCAAUUCCCAGUCAAUGCA